AGUAGUCUAUUAGCUUGGGAUUUUAAGACAUAUUAACUAUUGCCAAUCAACUUUGACUCUGGUUAAGGUUGUGCUUCCACCUAGAGGCCAAGAAUUUUUACUGUGCUUAUCACGCUGCAGCGCACCUGCCACAGGGUCAAUUUGCCAGCGUUUUCGGAGCGAAGAGAUCGAGCUCCGACAGGCGCGCGCCCAGCCACCUUGCAGUUCUUCUCAAAGAGUCAGCCUUCGUUACGUUUACUGCAGUCGUCGCAAAAGCUGGCCGGAGAACCAGGCAAGAACGCUGAAAGCUCGGUCCCAGACUAGGCAAGGCGCUACGGCUGCUAAACUCGUUUUCCUUGUCCCUUCGUUCCGCCUCAUUUGGCUCGACGUGGGCGAACACAGUCAAUUCCGAGCAGCUACUGGGCGUCUGUGGGAGCCAUUCUAGAUUCCUCAGCGCCGGCGGGCAGGAGUCAAGGUGAAGCUGAAAGCCUGCGGAGCCUCGCGCGGAGAGGCUCGCUCCCCACGCAGAUGCUGAGGUGUCUGAAAUAGCCAAGCAGCUGAAGCAGAAGAGACCCUCCCCCUCGCUCCCAGGCUCCGCCCUGCCUGCUCUUUCUCGUUUCAACUUCCUUGAUCUCUUGCUCCCAAGCGGCACAGAGAUAUGAGCGGAUCCAGGGGUCAGGAGGCCGAACAACCGCUCGGUCGCCGAGGCUUCCUGCGUUUUCAGCGAUUGGCAAGAAGAUAUUCAACAAGCCAAACGACUCUGCUUCUCUCCCGCCGUCCACUUCCAGUUUGAAUGCCUUGGGGCUCCGCCUGCAGUUUACGCCAGCCCUCAUCCACCGCCACAUGUUGGGUGGACGUUCUUUUCAGACGUUCACGAGUCUCCGAGAAGAAAUCAAACCCCCUCUUUCUUCCACCGUUAAUCCUGAUGUUCUACUCUAGAUAGAUAGAAUUAGGCUUUGUCCCAAAUGAGGAAUUUGGUGAUUUUGUGGGCUGAUCACAUGGCAGAUUCAUCAUUUCAAACAGGAUUCUGCAGCAGUGUUUCAGGGACUGAUGGAACAGUUUGAGAAAACUCUGGAUAUAGAGUACCAUCAGAACUGUGGAAAGGAUCCGAAAGAAAUACAUUUCAAUGGAAAAGUAGAAAGGCAGAAGGUGGGGGAAAUUCUGCUUUGCCAAGAUCAAUGGCUGCUCUCCAUGGCCCAGUAAGAACUGCCCACCAUAAUGAAUUCUGCAGAUCUCUAGAAGGUAAACAAGGCAUUGUAAGGGGUGGAACAGGAAGGCAAAGCAGGCUCAGUGCCUUUGGGAACCCAGCAGAAUGGGUCCCCAAAGAAUGGGAGGGGGGAAGAGAUAGGUGGGUGUGCUUCAGCAUCUCUGCAAAGUUAUGAAGCCCCUGGUCAUUCAUAAGUGCAAAUGACCGGAUAACUUUUGUAAAUUCUUAUCUUCAAAUCAUAGUCAUACAUGGCUUUUAGGAGGUCUUUUGUAACUUUGAACACUUGCUAUAUGAUCUGUCAUACCUUGAGGAUUACCUGUAAACACUGCCUUUAGAGUAAAGAAUUAUUGCAGACCUGUAAACCUCUUAGCAGAAAGAGAAGGUUUUUUGGAGCAAGACAUUCCAGGAUAUUUCAUGAACAAUGAAAAACUUUUGCCUGAGGCCUUGGAGAACUGAAUUAGCUGGCUUCAGACAAAGUCAAUUAUUAAAGCCUCUAUAAUAA